AUUGAACGCUGGCGGCAUGCCUAACACAUGCAAGUCGAACGGUAACAUGGUGUAGCUUGCUACACUGAUGACGAGUGGCGGACGGGUGAGUAACGCGUAGGGACGUACCUUGAAGAGUGGGACAACUUGGGGAAACUCAAGCUAAUACCGCAUAAUACUCUGAGGAGGAAAGCUAGGGGGUGACUUCUGGCGCUUUGAGAGCGACCUGCGUCUGAUUAGCUAGUUGGUGAGGUAAGGGCGUCACCAAGGCGACGAUCAGUAGCUGUUCUGAGAGGAAGACCAGCCACACUGGGACUGAGAGACGGCCCAGACUCCUACGGGAGGCAGCAGUGGGGAAUAUUGGACAAUGGGGGGAACCCUGAUCCAGCGAUGCCGCGUGUGUGAAGAAGGCCUUCGGGUUGUAAAGCACUUUAGUUGGGGAGGAAGAUGGAGUGAUGCAUAGUCAUUUCAGUUGACGAUACCCAAAGAAUAAGCACCGGCUAACUCCGUGCCAGCCGCCGCGGUAA
rnacentral:rRNA from 1 species